GUGGGUGUAGCUCAGCGGUUUAGAGCACUUGCCUGUGGCGCAAGGGGCCGGGGGUUCAAAUCCCCUCAUCCACCCCA
rnacentral:tRNA from 1 species